GAAACAUAGCUCAUUGGCAGAGCAUACACUUUGCAUGCCAAGAGGUCCCAGGUUCAAUCCCUGGCAUCUCCA